ACCCCCGUGGCCUAGUGGUGAAGGCGUCGAGCUUUUAACUCGAGGAUCGCGGGUUCGAAUCCCGCCGGGGGUU